AAGUGCUGGGAUUACAGACGUGAGCCACUGUGCCUGGCCAAAAUUUACCAUCUUAACCAUUUCUAAGUAUAGAGUUAAGUACCGUUAGUUAAAUUCGCAUUGUUAUGGAAGAGCUCUCCGGAAUUUUUUUAGCUUGCAAAAGUGAAACUAUACCCAUGAAACUAACACCUCUGUAUUUCCCUCUCCCCAGCCCCUGACAACCACUAUUCUACUUUCUGUUUCUAUGAAUUUGACUACUAUAGACAACUCAUGCUCCAUCCUGCACCAGGAGCAGCCUCGGGUUCGCGUGUGUGGGAGCUGCAGAAUGCCUGUACAAACUUCUAUACCCUCCCCAUGUCCCUUUGCACAAACAGCCCCCAUUGGCCAUCCUUUGGGCCUAGAAGUUCAUAUCCUGCUGCCUGUUCAUGUCCUGGGAAGCAACGUGGGUUGGAGGCCAGCUGAGCUCUGGAAAGUGGGCUUGGGGUCUAGAAGAAGGUCGUGGGCUCCACAUGGGUUCAAGCCUUAGUCCCAAUGGGCCGAGGAGCAGAAGAGGACCACAGUGAGGUUCUCUAAAGCAUAUGGCUUAGACAAGGGCCCCAUGCCACAGCUAAGGGCAGUACUAGCUGAGCACUUCAUAUCUUUCAUCUCUUGUUUGUUUGCUUGAGAAAGAGGAUCUCCUUCUGUUGCCCAUGCUGGAGUGCAGUGACUAUUCACAGGCGCAAUCACAGCUCACGGCAGACCCAAACUCCUGACCUCAGGUGAUCCUCCCACCUCAGCCUCCCAAGUAGCUGGGACUACAGACAUAAGCUACUGCACCCAGCACUAUCCGUCAUCGCUUGAUCCUCACCCAGUCCUGUUCCAUUGGGCUUAUCGUCUUCAUUGCCCCAGUGAGAGCACCAAGGCUCAUAGAAAAGCCAGUCGCUUGCCCAGGGUCCUGGGACAUAUGUCUGAAGCCAAGGCCAGGAGCUCUCCAUUAUACCAUAUGGCCUCAAAGGCCCUCCUUGGUUCAAAGACACUUGAUGGAGCAUUUUGUAGAAACAUCAUCUCCUUGGCUUUGUUUAAAAUCAACAUCACCACCCACAGCCCCCCACCACACACACACAAAAAAUAUAUCUGUGCACAGUGGCUCACGCCUGUAAUCCUAGCACUUUGGGAGGCCGAGGCAGGCGGAUUGCCUGAGCUCAGUAGUUCAAGACCAGCCUGGACAACACAGCAAAACCCCAUCUCUACUAAAAAUAGAAAAAUAUUAGCCAGGUGUGGUGGUGCAUGCCUGUAGUCCUAGCUUCUUGGGAGGCUGAUUCAGGAGAAUUGCUUGAAUCUGGGAGGCAGAGGUUGCAGUGAGCUGAGAUCACAUCACUGCACUUCAGCCUGGGUAACAGAGCGAGACUCUCUCCAAAUAAUAAUAAUAAUAAUAAUAAUAAUAAAAUAAACUUCAAAACUAAAACAACUUUAGGCUAACUGGGAAAACUGAAAUAGGAAGACCUCGCCUUGACCCUAGGGAAUGAAGCCAAAACUCAGAGGGCUGGAGGUAUCCAGCUGCCUAGCUGCUGUCCAGCUAGGAGCACAGUUUCUUUGGAGGUCCCCAAACCAUGCUGGUGGAGCCUCAUCUAUCUCUUUAGCUCCCCAUCAAAGGGAUCACUUUAUCAGCUGCACAGUCUUUAAGCCCAACGUCCACAGCAGGACUCUCUUUUAAAACAGUUUGGCCUUGAGAGAGGCAGUCCGCUUGUUAUCUAUGUUUUGUUUUGUGUUGGCUUCCUGGCGAGUUAUCAGGGAGACUUUGGUUUCUUUGUCUUCUGUUAUCUCCCUGCUGGGUUUCAAAGCUGCCCUCUGAGCUGCUGUCAGCCUGAGCUGUGUCUUCCCCUGCAGGGACAGAGAGCCGGAGGUGGAAGGGGCCACAACUCUACCAGAGCCUUCCCUUCCAGCUGUUGUCUCCUGGGCGCCCACCCCCAGUGCCUGGAACUUGCCAGCUCUCAUCAAGGCUGGCUAGGUGUCACUUGUGGCUUCUCCAGGGGCAUAUAACAUCAAGAGAGUGGGCCUCAUAGGGCCAAGAUCAGGGGAAAGGAGGGGGGUUUGAAACACCCUUUACAAAAAUUAUAACUAAGGAAAUUAUGACAGUGAAAGAGAUCAGACCUAACUGACUCCAUCUUGCUUCUAACCUUUAAGUUGUCCUGGUUCAUUCCUGGACAUAGACAGAACUAACUUUGGGAAGGAAUUCAGUUUAUGGUUUGACUCGGAAACAAAAUUGAUAAUAGACCUUUCCUGAAAAGACCCCCUUCUUGCCUAGGACCCGCCUUUGCACAACUAACAAAUUAGCUACAAGAUGAGAAGCUGUGGUUUAGGGGUCAUGCAGCCUCUGGCUCCAAGAGUCUGAACCUCCCCAAAUUGCUCCUGUGGAUAAUAUCACUAUUGUAAAACCUAGAUCAGCGCUUGAGAUAUUUUGCAGACCCUGCACUGGAUGGAUCAACUGAUACCACCCAGACUGGUAAUCUGGCUCAACCAGUUCUGCCAUCCUACCCAGGAACAGAAGACAGCAAGAAAACAUCACUUAAAUCCCCUAUUCAAUCCAUCUCCAACCUAACCAAUCAGCACUCCCCGCCUCCCAAGCUCUUACCCACCAAAUUAUCUUUUAAGACUCUGAUCCCCAUAUGCUUGGGAAGACUGAUCUGAAUAAUAAUAAAACUCUGGUUUCACCCA